CGUUAGCUCAGUUGGUAGAGCAGUUGACUUUUAAUCAAUUGGUCGCAGGUUCGAAUCCUGCACGACCCA
rnacentral:tRNA from 1 species